AAAAUAACAAUGAUUUCCCUAGUAACGGCGAGUGAAGAGGAAAGAGCUCAAAGUUGGAAACUGUUUGGCUUAGCUAAACCGUAUUGUAAACUGUAGAAACAUUUUCCUGGCACGCCGGAUUAAUAAGUCCUUUGGAACAAGGCAUCAUGGAGGGUGAGAAUCCCGUCUUUGAUCCGAGUAGUUGUCUUUUGUGAUAUGUUUUCAAAGAGUCAGGUUGUUUGGGAAUGCAGCCUAAAUUGGGUGGUAAAUCUCACCUAAAGCUAAAUAUUUGCGAGAGACCGAUAGCGAACAAGUACCGUGAGGGAAAGAUGAAAAGAACUUUGAAAAGAGAGUUAAACAGUAUGUGAAAUUGUUAAAAGGGAACCGUUUGGAGCCAGACUGGUUUGACUGUAAUCAACCUAGAAUUCGUUCUGGGUGCACUUGCAGUCUAUACCUGCCAACAACAGUUUGAUUUGGAGGAAAAAAUUAGUAGGAAUGUAGCCUCUCGAGGUGUUAUAGCCUACUAUCAUACUCUGGAUUGGACUGAGGAACGCAGCGAAUGCCUUAGGCGAGAUUGCUGGGUGCUUUCGCUAAUAAAUGUUAGAAUUUCUGCUUCGGGUGGUGCUAAUGUUUAAAGGAGGAACACAUCUAGUAUAUUUUUUAUUCGCUUAGGUUGUUGGCUUAAUGACUCUAAAUGAC
rnacentral:rRNA from 1 species